rnacentral:rRNA from 1 species
UCCUACGGGAGGCAGCAGUGGGGAAUAUUGCACAAUGGGCGCAAGCCUGAUGCAGCCAUGCCGCGUGUGUGAAGAAGGCCUUCGGGUUGUAAAGCACUUUCAGUCGUGAGGAAGGUAGUGUAGUUAAUAGCUGCAUUAUUUGACGUUAGCGACAGAAGAAGCACCGGCUAACUCCGUGCCAGCAGCCGCGGUAAUACGGAGGGUGCGAGCGUUAAUCGGAAUUACUGGGCGUAAAGCGCAUGCAGGUGGUUUGUUAAGUCAGAUGUGAAAGCCCGGGGCUCAACCUCGGAAUAGCAUUUGAAACUGGCAGACUAGAGUACUGUAGAGGGGGGUAGAAUUUCAGGUGUAGCGGUGAAAUGCGUAGAGAUCUGAAGGAAUACCGGUGGCGAAGGCGGCCCCCUGGACAGAUACUGACACUCAGAUGCGAAAGCGUGGGGAGCAAACAGGAUUAGAUACCCUGGUAGUCCACGCCGUAAACGAUGUCUACUUGGAGGUUGUGGCCUUGAGCCGUGGCUUUCGGAGCUAACGCGUUAAGUAGACCGCCUGGGGAGUACGGUCGCAAGAUUAAAACUCAAAUGAAUUGACGGGGG